CUACGGGCGGCUCCAGUCGAGAAUCAUUCGCAAUGGGCGCAAGCCUGACGAUGCGACGCCGUGUGAACGAAGAAGGCCUUCGGGUUGUAAAGUUCUUUCGCCUGGGAACAAGUGAUGUAGGUAAAUAAUCUACAAAGUUGAGUGUACCAGGUAAAGAAGCACCGGCUAACUCCGUGCCAGCAGCUGCGGUAAUACGGAGGGUGCAAGCAUUAAUCGGAUUCACUGGGCGUAAAGGGCGCGUAGGUGGCAAAUCAAGUCAGAUGUGAAAUUCCAGAGCUCAACUUUGGAGCUGCAUCUGAAACUGGUUAGCUAGAGGGUAGACGGAGAAAACGGAAUUCCACAUGUAGCGGUGAAAUGCGUAGAUAUGUGGAGGAACACCGGUGGCGAAGGCGGUUUUCUAGUUUAUACCUGACACUGAGGCGCGAAAGCAAAGGGAGCAAACAGGAUUAGAUACCCCAGUAGUC
rnacentral:rRNA from 1 species